GCAGAGUUGCAAUAACUCUCCUAAAACCAUUGUGAACGUUAACCUAAAACCGUUGCUUCGGCGGGCGGCCCCGGGUUCUCCCUGGCCCCUGGGCCCCAGCGCGGGCCCCCGGAAGGUCUCCAAACUCUUGAUACUUAUUGUCCUCUCUGAGUACUUCUGUACUGAAUAAGUCAA
rnacentral:misc_RNA from 1 species